AGAUGUAACACCAUGGGGUAGGAAGCCCGUAAACUUCUCUGGCUGACACCUUGUCUGAUUAAGGGUGCCUUUUACCAUACAGAAGCUUUUCGUUUUAAUGAGAUUCCUGUAUAGUCAAUGUGAUCAGCCACCUUCCUGCUACUGCCGCCAUGCCAUGCCUUCCCUGCUAUAGUGGACUCUAUCUCCUCUAGUUGGGAGCCAAAAUAAACCCUGUCUUCUUUGAGAAGACACAAUUUAGAAAUAUAAAAUGCAAAAUGCUUUCAACCAAAGCUUCUGACUUCAACGUGAUGCUUCAUUAUGACUCAAACUUUUUCUCAAAAUUCUGGACGUGAUUCCUGCUGCUUUCUGACAACAAUUUAUCCCAUCCACUGGGGCUACAGCCUUGACUUCUAAUCUAGUCACCCACCAAGCUGCAGGAGCAACGUAUUUUUUUCAUGCUCAUUUCACGGCAGAUGGUUUAUGGAGUAUGCUGCCUGACAGAUGGUUAUUAAAGAAGUUUGC